GACAUCUUUUGACAACCCUAGAGAUAGGGCUUCCCCUUCGGGGGCAGAGUGACAGGUGGUGCAUGGUUGUCGUCAGCUCGUGUCGUGAGAUGUUGGGUUAAGUCCCGCAACGAGCGCAACCCUUGAUCUUAGUUGCCAGCAUUCAGUUGGGCACUCUAAGGUGACUGCCGGUGACAAACCGGAGGAAGGUGGGGAUGACGUCAAAUCAUCAUGCCCCUUAUGACCUGGGCUACACACGUGCUACAAUGGGCAGAACAAAGGGCAGCGAAGCCGCGAGGCUAAGCCAAUCCCACAAAUCUGUUCUCAGUUCGGAUCGCAGUCUGCAACUCGACUGCGUGAAGCUGGAAUCGCUAGUAAUCGCGGAUCAGCAUGCCGCGGUGAAUACGUUCCCGGGCCUUGUACACACCGCCCGUCACACCACGAGAGUUUGUAACACCCGAAGUCGGUGAGGUAACCUUUGGAGCCAG
rnacentral:rRNA from 1 species